rnacentral:tRNA from 6 species
GGCAAGUUGGCAGAGUGGUCUAAUGCGGUGGUCUUAAGCACCAUUAUCGAGAGAUGCGUGGGUUCGAACCCCACACUUGUCA